ensembl:lncRNA
AAAAAUUUCAAGAUACGUAGUGUCAGCAGAAACAAGUUUCCAUAAAUAGCCGUUAAAGUUUAGUUGAUAAUAUGGCUAGGAUAACAUUAGAUUAGCUUAGUUAAGCUAAGACUGCUAGCAGGGAGGGAAAGGGGUUUGUCGAGAGUAAAGAGGACACUGUUCCUCCAAAAACUGACGUCAGACUCUGCAGCCAUGUUAGGAUCAACCAUAGUCUGUGGGAUCAACAGGCAUUUUCACAGCUGUCUCGCUGAGUUAUGUAAAGAAGAACUGGGUGUUAACAUCACAUCACCAGGCAUAAAAUCUUCAAAAUUGAGCGAACAGGACCCAGUCAGAUGAGGGGGGAGACAGAUAGGAAGAAGAAGAGGAGGAGGGAGAAGAGAGGAGCUUUAUGUCAGCCCGCUCUCCUCAGUCACGGCCAGUUAGUUAAAGCAAACGCAGGCGGACCCUUGAGAAAACGCGAGGCGGCGGAGAGUGCCAAUCACGGCCGAGCCCUGGGCAUUCCCUGGUACAGCUCGCCUUGAGCAACUUUUUAUUAAUUUAAUAAACAUCCCACAGAGACGGAGCGAUGUGGACUUACGUACCCUUGCAGACAACAGCACUGCUUGGGCCUAAUGAGAUGUGCUACUCACACACACACACACACACACACA